AGUAACGCGUGGGUAACCUGCCUUAUACAGGGGGAUAACAGUCAGAAAUGGCUGCUAAUACCGCAUAAGCGCACAGAGCUGCAUGGCUCAGUGUGAAAACUACCGGUGGUAUAAGAUGGACCCGCGUUGGAUUAGCUAGUUGGUGGGGUAACGGGCCCACCAAGGCGACGAUCCAUAGCCGGCCUGAGAGGGUGAACGGCCACAUUGGGACUGAGACACGGCCCAG
rnacentral:rRNA from 1 species